rnacentral:piRNA from 1 species
AUAUUUAAGCUGUUCUGGGAAGAGA